CAGUCGCCGCGGUAAAACGAAGGGUGCAAGCGUUACUCGGAAUUACUGGGCGUAAAGCGUGUGUAGGUGGUUGUUUAAGUCUGUCGUGAAAUCUCGGGGCUCAACCUCGAAAUUGCGUCGGAUACUGCAUUGCUAGAGGAUUGUAGAGGAGAGUGGAAUUCAUGGUGUAGCAGUGAAAUGCGUAGAUAUCAUGAGGAAGACCAGUUGCGAAGGCGACUCUCUGGGCAAUUCCUGACACUGAGGCACGAAGGCUAGGGGAGCAAACGGGAUUAGAUACCCCCGUAGUCCCUGUCUCUUAUAC
rnacentral:rRNA from 1 species